rnacentral:tRNA from 1 species
GGAGAGAUGGCUGAGUUGGUCGAAAGCGCUCGACUCGAAAUCGAGUAGGCGCCCGAAAUGGUGCCUCGAGAGUUCGAAUCUCUCUCUCUCCG